UCUGAGGAAGGCGGAAGAUUCACGCUGAAACUGUUAACAAGGUUUACCGUCCAAACGAGCUCACAUGGGAUUACCUUUCACAGGUUUCCCAAAAAUAAAGACAUGAAAAAGCAGUGGGAGACAGCUGUGCGACGGGAAGGGUUUUUUGCUACUCUGUCAUCCAUGCUCUGCAGUGAACACUUCAGAACGGAGGAUUUUGGCAGAACAGGUCAGACAGUCAGGAUCAGAGAGGGAGCUGUUCCUUCAGUCUUCAGUUUCCCAGCUCAUCUCCACCGGCAUACAAGAGUCAAGGAUGGAAAUACUAUCCACUCAGAAAUGUAUUUUAAAAUAAAGGUUCUGCGUAUCUCCUUUAAACACUGAGACUGCCAGACUUUGGAAGAGGAGGUGGCCAAAAUGCUACGUGACAGUGUUAUUGUCAUCAACCUUGGCCCAGCCCUUGGUCCAGCCCCGUCCUCACAGUCCUGAAGCCAGAGUCUCCAGAUCUCCAAAGGCUCAUGCAUGUCAUUCUCCACCCCCACUGUCAGUUCGUCACUGCCUAUCUGGAUGACAUCUUCAUUCAUACCAAAACCUACUGCCUACUUGUGCCAUGCCCAUGUGAAACCACCUGCAUUACUCAUCCUACAGCCAAUCUGCAUGGUCUCUCACUGCUCCCCUUUCACCAUCCCCUCCUGAAAGUGAAUAAAAAAACACCUUAAACUACCAGACUGCCUGGGUCCAUGUUAGUGUUCACAGUGGACAAUCUGUGUGAGAGAGAGAGACCAUGGUGAGAGACCAUGCAGAUUGGCUGUCAUAGCAGCAGGACACUACAAUGACUUAUAGUCUAUAAAAUCAUAAUCAAAUGGCUAUAACUAGAUUUUUGCUUCUGAAAACAGAAAACCUGAGAACAAUAAAUUCUAAAAGAAAUACAACAUCAUCACAAACAGAUCAUUCCAAGGCAUGUGGUACAGUAAACAACUGAAGAUAAGACAAUGUCUAUGGAUGAUUGGGAAUUAGAAUUUCUGGCUGAGGGUAAGGUGGCUUGAGUCGGCCCCCUCCACCUUGAUGUCUGUCUGAGAUCUUGCAAAAGAAUAAAAGACAGGAAAACAUAAAUGAACAAAAUGGAACAGAUGCAGAUUGUAAUUUUUUUGCUUUACUCACUGAUUGAGGAGGGGACAUAAAAGGUUUGAAGACAAGCUAUAGCCAACAUUUAACCCAAAGCAAAUCCUACACCUAACCUAAUAUUAACCAUAGCAAAGUUCUAACUCUAUGGACUUGUUAGUGAACUGAAUGAGAACAAGACUCAAUUCAUUAUGACAUAAGAAUAUACAGGUUUUCCUUGCUACCAUUGCUUCUGGCUUGCUCAUUAGGGAUAAAUUUAUCAUUUGUAUCCAGAUUCCUGUAACGCUGCUUUGUGACA